ACUUUGGGGUGCACAAAAGGUAGUAAAAUCUAAAGGAGUUCAGGCUUAGUUAUUGGAAAUACUGCCAAGUGUGAGAUGCAUGGAUGUGAUUUGGAUUUACAUCCUGAGGGCACUGUUGGUUCCCAUAAGAACCUUAGCACAAACUGACAACCCAACUGCCUGGGAGCUUACGGGGGUAGAGAAUUCUCUACUUCUUGUUCCGCAGACUAGUGAGGAGACAAAGGAAGAUUUCAAGGCAUACUGAAAAUCCUAAGUGACCAUUGCCAUGAACGGUCCAGCUCCGGAGAGCAGGGUUGAGAGAGGAAUCUGAAAGAACCAAGGAAUAAAGAAAUGACUGGCACAAAAUAGAGUUUAAGAGAAGCAGGACACAGGGGACACAAGGUCUCAUUCUGGCUCAGUCAUCCAGAACACCCAGAGCAACUCAGAUUUAUGGAGACAGACCACCUCCUAGUUUGUCUCUAAGGUCCGUGACAUCAGAAUAGGAGUUUCGUAGAACAGUGUCACAACAAAACACAACGGAGUUGGUGGUGUCUAGGGGGCUUGGUGAUGUCCAUCAUGUCAGCGUACAGCAGCCUGAAGGGCAUCGAGUCUUGAUCCGCGGUUCCGGAGGACAGCAUAUUCAGUGGGAAGGGUCCUCGUUUCUCCUGUCGGCCUGCAUAGGUGGCAUCCCGGGUGGCA